GACGAACGCUGGCGGCGUGCUUAACACAUGCAAGUCGAACGGAAAGGCCUCUUUCGGGGGGUACUCGAGUGGCGAACGGGUGAGUAACACGUGAGUAACCUGCCCUUGACUUUGGAUAACUUCAGGAAACUGGGGCUAAUACCGGAUAGGAGCUCCUGCUGCAUGGUGGGGGUUGGAAAGUUUCGGCGGUUGGGGAUGGACUCGCGGCUUAUCAGCUUGUUGGUGGGGUAGUGGCUUACCAAGGCUUUGACGGGUAGCCGGCCUGAGAGGGUGACCGGCCACAUUGGGACUGAGAUACGGCCCAGACUCCUACGGGAGGCAGCAGUGGGGAAUAUUGCACAAUGGGUGGAAGCCUGAUGCAGCAACGCCGUGUGCGGGAUGACGGCCUUCGGGUUGUAAACCGCUUUCGCUCAUGACGAAGCUUUGUGUGACGGUAGUGGGUAAAGAAGCACCGGCUAACUACGUG
rnacentral:rRNA from 1 species